rnacentral:ncRNA from 2 species
CUCUUAUCAAGAGAGGUGGAGGGAUGUGCCCGAUGAAACCCGGCAACCGUCAAUGCGUAUGCAUUGAAAUGGUGCCAAUUCACACAAAGUGAAACGAUUCACUUUGAGAGAUGAGGG